UGUUCAGUAAAUCUAAACACACGAUGCAGUCAUUUCAUUCAGAUGCAAUCGAUCAGAAAAUGAUGUGUAAUGUGUGACUACGGGGGAAAAGAAACUGCCCAAUCAUCAUGAGUAUGUUUUCAUAGAUGAGAAUGGAACAGACAAAAAUGAGAGGCGACAAUCAAGGUAGAGAUAGAAACUGAGAGAAGCUUUGUCAUUGAAAUUUCUGGAGCUGAAGACUUCCCUUGAAUUACAUCCUAUUUUCACUAAGAGAUGAAGCCCACAACCCACCAUUUGGUCUAUCAGCAGUGAUGUUCAGAAAACAAGAUAUCCUGGAAUGCUGGCAUGAUUGUUUGGUUCAACAAUCCCCAGGUUCUGUUCUGUGGUUUGACAAAAUUCACCAGACCUGCUAUGUUACCUUCUGGAGAGAACUCAGUUGUAUACACUGCGGUGGUGACAGAGCGUGGCAGGAGCUGGGGCCAGGUGGGAGCGGGUGGCGGCAAAGCGGCAAGCAAGUAAAGUGGCAGAGCAGCGAGCCCGGGCCGAGGCUUCACCCAGUGCAGAUGAAAGUGUGCCCAGCGUGGGGAAGAGCCCUGUCAGACCCAUGGCCUAGGAAUGGACUGUAAUAUUUAACUUUUAACUUUAUUUUUCUACUCAAUAUUAGGAAGCGUACUGAUGAAGUUUUUGACUUAUUUCUUUACUUUUCUAUUUUUGUACCAAAGAUUUUGUACUUAGGUACCUUUGUACCGAAGAUGGUGCCUGGAAUGGUGACUUUGUACACUUUUCAGUGUACUCCUGUAUCCCUGUACCUGAGCACAUUUGACAAGAAAACCUAAAUCUAAAGUUUAUCCAACAUUCUCUAUUUUAGAUAUCCAGCAUCUGCAGUAUUUUGUCAAUAGCUGAAUGUUGGUUUGCAGAAAUAAAGAAUUUCCAUUUAUAAGGUAUUUGCAUAUUCUGAGAAAAGCCAAAAAACACUUCACAGUUAAUUAUUUUUGA